rnacentral:rRNA from 1 species
UACGGAGGGAGCUAGCGUUGUUCGGAAUUACUGGGCGUAAAGCGCGCGUAGGCGGCUUUGUAAGUUAGAGGUGAAAGCCCGGAGCUCAACUCCGGAACUGCCUUUAAGACUGUAUCGCUUGAAUCCAGGAGAGGUGAGUGGAAUUCCGAGUGUAGAGGUGAAAUUCGUAGAUAUUCGGAAGAACACCAGUGGCGAAGGCGGCUCACUGGACUGGUAUUGACGCUGAGGUGCGAAAGCGUGGGGAGCAAACAGG